CGCCUGUGGGUCCCUCCCCUGGGUCUGCUGUUUUCCUCUGUGGAGUUAGAGGCCGCUCUGCCUCCGCUUUUGUACCCUGUCACCAGCCGGGGUGGGGACCCGGUGGAAGAACGCUGGGAAUCCGGCAGCUGGUAAUGAAUUCAGCAGUGAAGCCACUGGGACCCAGACUUUUCUUAGUUGGUUGGCUUGGGAUGUUGUCUACACGUCUGUAUGCGUAUCCAGUUUAUGGAUAGAAGAAUGAAGCCCACAGAAAUGAAGGAAUGUCAGUUUAUAUCCUAUAUAGUUACUUAGCAAAUACUGAUUCCCCUUACCCAAUACUGCCUGUACUUAAAGCAUCCCCAGACACAUAACAGUGAUUCAUUCUGAGAGAGACUAGCGAUUCCAAAAUGCAAGGGAAGAGGGCUGUGAGAGGAUCAAGGCUGAGUUUCCUGGCUCUGUCUAACGGUCAUGAAGCGUCAGUUGGAUCAAAGGAUAUACAAAACUCUGAACAGUGCAGUGCCUGUAUUAGUAAAAGAGAAAAGCAGGGGUAGGUCCCAUGAAGGAUUUAAGCCAUCCACCUGCCCAUAAUCCUCACUGCACUUUUAACCAACUACCUUUCUACUACUCAAACCCACAUUUACCCUGAUCACUCAAGCCAGACAUCAUUUUCCCACUUGAGAGAAGUUUCAGUGUCAGUGAACCUCUGGAAAACCCCAUGCUCAGAACUCUGCCUGGUUUGUGACAGAAAUGAGUGAAGAAAUAGGAAAGUUUAGGAUCUCUUCUCUGUCUCUUCUCUGUCUCUCUGUCUCUGUCUCUGUCUCUCUCCCUCUCUCUCUCCCCCUCCCUCUCCCUCUUCCUCUCCCUCUUCCUCUCCCUCUCUCCCUCUCUCCCUCUGUCUCUGUCUCUGUCUCUCCCUCUCACACACACACACACACACACACACACACACACACACACACACACAAUGACUAAAGAUAUGGCUGAUCGAUGCACUAAACUUAAGAGUUUCUAUGCCAAGAAUUGAGACACAGAUAUGAACAAGAAUUAUGGAGUACACCUAUUGUAUUACUUUAGUGCUUUAUUCUUUAUUUGUACAAGAGCAGUUUUCCUAAGUAAUGUAAUCCAGUGAAGACUCACAAAUUAGUUUCAUGGGUAAUUGGUUGGAAAGUAUAUUAUUUUCAUAACAUUUAAAAUAAAAUGAAGAUACUAUUUUAUGCUUUGGAAUGCAUCAGAUAAAAAGUGGAGGUGUGCCCCAUAGCAGUGUUACAGUAUUCAUAUGAGAACUAAAAGAAAGAGUUAUUCAUUAAUGUCCCUAACUGGCCCCCAUUCAGUUUUCUCCAUUAUUAUCAUAAUGGCCCAGGUUGUUAAACCAGGAUUUAGAAAAGAACAAAAGUUAUGUAUUGCUUUUACCUAGAUAUAAACUGUUCUUGUUCCAUCAGGACCUGCUCUCCUAGCAACAGAGCUCUCCAGUUUGGGGGCUCCUGUCAUUGUUUCUCAUGGAGGAGUGCAGUCUUGUGGGAUCUAUAGUUGCAUCAGUGACAUCACUGGCCCAGGACCAUAGUAGGGGCACUUCCAGGUUCCUUGUGCACAUUUGCGUCUAACCUUAUGGCACCAUCUUCUGCCCAGAAAUUCUGGACACCGUGACUCUCCCCAGGAUGCUACAGAGUCAAGUUGCAUUCUGUUUUUCCUGGGUGGUUAAAAUUGUGAAAGAGGAGCCCUGGGCUUUCUGGGACAAUAGCAUGUUUGAUUGAUAUCCCACUGAUAUCCCACUCCCUGAUGGGUGCAAAAAGAUUGGUGGAUCUCAUAGGGUUUUUUUUUCCUGUGAUCUCUGGAUCUGUGCUGUUAGGGAGGAUGACAUUAGCAUCCAAUCCUCAGGCUAGGCAGUGGAAAAUUUGUGAUUAUAGAUGUGCUGUAAAUUAAUCUAUUCUCAGAAGGUGGUUCUGGGUGUGUGCUUCCAUUCUUCCAGGUGUACAGAUGCUGGUUCCAUCUAGAAGCUCUGCAAAUGGUGCAGUGGCAUCCAAGAUAAUGAUGUUGAGUAGAGUCUACAGACAGAUACAGGCUGGGAGAUGUGCAUUGUGAGUCUACUUCCAGCUCUGCCUCUGAACGUGUUUUGUUUAUUUAUUUAGUUUUUUGGUACCAGGGAUUGAACUCUGGGCCUUGCACCUUCAAGUCAGGCGGCGGAACCACUGAGCUAAAUCCCUGGCCUUGAAUGGUUUUGUUACUAACCAGCAUGACAUUCAGUUUACUCAUGUGUCAAAUGAACACAUCUAUAUUAGUGUUUGCUAAUUAAAUCUUACUCUGUGGUAGCUGUAUAUGUACUGUUUUAGUUACUUUUGUCAUUGCUGAGACAAAAUACCUGACAUCCAAAGUUAAAAGAGGAAAGGUUUAUUUGGACUCACAGUUUAUAGAGGUUUCAGUCCAUAAUUGGCUAGCUCCAAGGCAGGGUGACAUGGCAGAGAGGCAUCACAGAGGAGAAAAGCAGUUCAUGUCAUGAAAGGCAGAAGACAGGAGGCAGCAAAAGCAGCAAGGGACAAGUAGCAACCCUCUUUCUGUCCCUUAUAUUCUAUCUAGGCUAGACUCCCUUAGGGUGGGAAGCACUCACACCCAGGGUGGGCCUUCCUAUGAUCCACACCUAUUAUCACACCCAGAACUAUGCCAGACCAAUUAGUGGACUAAUUUUAUAAUUACACACUCUUGAUUCCCACAUCACACACUUAAUCCUAAUAUUACACACUUUGGAACCAUCCACCUCUGAGAAGUAUGAAACUAUAAUGCAUGAAACUUUGGGGGGACAUCUAGACACAAGCCAUAACAUGUAGGGUUGGUUGACGUGUUUUCUGGCUAUGGAAUUUCUGAUCCCAAUCUACACUAAAUAGCCCGCCAAGCACUUAUAAGACUUGUUUCCAGGAACAAAGUUUCUACCAAAACUAUUAGGUCACUACAUGCCAAUAUUGUUUCCUUUGGGACAGUUUACUUCUUGUGCAGUACGAAGAAGGCAGCUUCAUUAAUAGGAAUUCUACUCUAAAGUAUAUCCUUAUGACCUGAAUCCUCUCAUUAGCACUUCUGAGCAGAAGCAGUGGUGUUACAGAAAAAGUCCCUACUUUGAAUGGACAAAAUAAUUAUUGAUAGUACUGCCCUUAGUAAAUAACAUUUAAAUAAUAGUACUCCAUCCAGAAGCUAUCAAAAACUGGGUGCUAUUAGAAUAUUUGGAUCAACUUUCAGAAGGGAGAUGUGAGUCGGGCAGGGGAUAGGCAAGGGCCUAGGAAAUGUUACUUAUUGAUGGGUCUGUCUUUGAGCUAAUUCUUUUAUUUUACCUAUUCUUCUAUUGAUGUCUUCAGUAAUAUUGUAAAUGUCGAGUGUGGUAUUUAGCUCCAGAAUUUGAUUUUUAAAAAAUUGAUACCAUCUCUGUGAAGAUCUUCUGUUAGUUAUUAAAAUAUUUUUAUGUUUCCUUCAAGCUGAUUGUGUUUCCUUAAAAGAGUUGUUUUAAAUUCUGUGUCUGAGAGUUCUCCUGACUGAUUCCUUUCUGUUUAGAUUCUGGCACCUUACUAAGUGAGACCAUACUUACCUGAAAUCUCUAGAUGCUUGUUGGCAUUCAGUGUCAUCAGAGCAUUGAAGGAUUAUGUAUUUAUUUCAGUAGUACUGCUCUGGCUUUUUAUGUGCUUCUCUUUCCCAAAACUGUAGACUGGUUGCUUAUUUUCUCUUAGCCUGUAUUUGAUUCCACCAUGUCAGCUCUGUAUGGUAUUUCGGUUCAAAUUUUCAGGCAGUCUGCUGUUUGUGUGCUGUCAUUGUUUCUAUACUAGGAGGGAGUGUAACCCCAGGUGUUACCUGAAUGCAUUACUGUAAUGUUGUCCAGAAAGAAUCAGGAGAGUAGCCUGUCCCCAUGAGCCUCUCCCUGUGGCUGGGAAGGCACAGAUCCUUCUUCACAGACACUGACCUGUGGUGAGGCACUGCAGGAUUCUGCUUGGGUUUGGGCACAGUGAAUGUGGAUGGAAGAGGCACAGGCUCUUAUGUCACAUUUUUCGGCAGCAAUGCUGCCAAGCUGUAUCACACCAUGAUCCUGCAGCCCAGCAAGACCAGCAGACCACUGGAAUAUCACCAAGCCCACAUUGAGCUGUGCAGUCUCCAUAAAUAUAUCACAGGGAAGAGAAUCAGGUGCCCUCCUUUACAUCCACCUAAUUCUUUGAAGCUGCCACUUUUCAACCACCAGGUGCUGAGAGGUUCCUAGGAAGGGCAACAGACCUCCAGAAGCCAAGAAAUGGUUCAGACACUUGACGAAAAUGUGUUUGGGUUGAAUUCUCCCAAGGCUUUACAGAGUGAUGUACUCUCAGCCGUCCAUUUUUCCAUGGUCCUGGGGUCAGCUGCUUGACACCAGCAUCCACAGCUGCCAUGUCUUUUCCUUGAUCCCUAGGAGUGAAGUAUGUGAAAGUACUUGCAUGACCAUAGAAAACCAUCACUUUUUUUUAUGUUCUAAAGAAACUUGUGGUGUUUUUGUGUGUGUUUUAAAGAAACUACUCCCCUUCUCUCCCAGGGUGGGUUGAUUACAAUCCAGACUAUAAGGGCACUUUAGAGUUAGGGUGCUAUUAUAUAUGGUCAGGUUGAUGCUUAGUGUUGGAGAUUCUUUCCCAAUUUCUAUAUAGUGCUUUGUCUGAGGCAGGAUUCAUGCCCAAGUGUGCCUUGGCUUUCCUCCUGCUUUGGUGUGCUAGUUUUCUUAGUUGCCCAGUGUCUCAUUUACUUUUGUGUUGCUGAGACAGAAUACCUGACACCCACAACUUAAAGAAGGAGAGGUUUAUUUUAGCUCACAGUUUGUAGAGGCUUCAGACCAUAGUCAGCUGGCUCCAAGGCAGGGCAACAUGGCUGAGGAGAAACAGCUCAUGAUACCACAGCAGGAAGCAGAGAGAGAUCAAGGGAGGAGAGAGAGAUAGACCCUUCCAGCCAUGACCCUCGCGACUACCUUCUCCAACUUGGCUCCACCUCCCAACAUCACAUUUAGCUAUAAACUCAUUAAUGGACUAGUCCACUGCUGAGUAUCACAUCCCCAUGAUCUACCCCUAUGAGUGUAUGAGGCUUUGGGUGACAUUGAGACAUAAACCAUAGCACCCAGUACAUUGAAGUCUGUCAUUUCACUUAUGCCUGCCUUUCAGAGGAACCUGAAACAAGAGUAGAUGUUUUUUCAAGGACACAGUGACUCUGCCCCCCCCCCCCCCAUCUCCUAUAAACAUCUGCAAUUUUUGCUGUGGGAGAUUGAACCUACCACCUCAUACAUGUUGGGUGUCCACUCUGAGAUUGAGCUAUGUGCCCAGCCCCACCACCUGUCGUUUGGUCAGUUUACAUUUGAUAUCAUUCCUGAUAUGGUUGGGUUUGUGUAAGCCUCUCUGCUACUCUUACCAAAACAAACAAGUCUUACAUCCAUAUGGAUUCUUCUGUGGAUUUUGUUUUGUGAUAAUUUGUUAUUAUUGCAAUAAUACAGUUUUAUGAUAUGCACUAGUGUACAAGUAAUGAUCAUUACUCCUAUUGAUUUCAUAAUUCAGAAGUUUCUUGGCUAAUUUUAUCUAUGUAUGUAUGUAUAUAAGAUACAGAAGUAGAUAUAAACAUAUAUUUACUCUCCCAGAUGAAUUUUUAAAUUUUUCUUUGCUUUUUCCAUAAAAAUAAAGCAUGUUCAAAUUUUAAUGGGCUAAUGUAGAGUAAUUUGAAAAAAUAAUCACCUUUGUAAUAAUGAGUUUCAUUAUCUACAAAUAUUAUAUGUGUAUUUGAGUCUUUACAUGAGUGUGACAUUCAUGUAAAAUUUAGGUGUUUUUUUAAUUGCUCUGUUAAACUAGACAUAUAAGAGUUGGAAUGUUGCUGGCCUCUAGAAGGUAACACACACCCUAUUAUUUAUUUAUUUCUUAAUGCAUCUCCUCUUCCCCUACUUCUUAAACUUUAACAGUUGAAAUUAAUGCUACUGUACCUUUAUAUGUUAUCAUGGUACACAUUUGUAGUAAUUUCUGUAUCUGUGCUGGUGUUAUGGAAAUCUCGGAAAGAAAUGUUCGAAGACACAGAACUCAGAAGGACCAAUAUUUGACAUUGCUGAUGCUCCCUGUGGUAUGUUCAUGGUCAGUGUUUUUUAAUUUUGAUCUUGGGAUUUUCUUUUCUAUACUCAUUUUUAUAAAAUUUGGCUUUUCUAACCUAUCAAGACUAUUGGUUAACUAAUGAAUGCUUAGUUUUUUAAAUUUCUACUUAAGACAGUGUGCUUCUUUUUUAACCUCAGCUUUACAUGAUUUUAUUCAUUUUUACAGGUUUGAGGUAUAAUUGACAAAUACUAAUAUGCAUUUAGUUAAAGAAACAUAUUUUAUCUUUUCACCCAUAUAUGCAUCCAUGAAAUGAGCACCACAGGAAACAGUUAACAUAUCCACUAACCAAAGUUUUUUCUAGUGCCUUUCCAUGACACUUUAAUAAAUUUGAUUUUAUUGAUCAAAAGAAAAACAGGGUAAAAAUAACAAUUACAUAGCUCCACAAAAUAUCACAAAGGGAACAUACCCUACAGUUGCUACCUAGGUUAAGAAAUGCAACAUUAUCAAAGCCCAAAAGAACAUUUUCAUGCUCUCUUGCUAUCAGUGUCCCCUCUAUCCUCCUUAGUGAUAACUAUUAUUUUUCUAAUUCAGCUGUUACUCUUAGAGAAUUCUUGUAGAAUAUCUUGGUGCAUUUCUGUUCUGCAUAGUGGUAGAAUUAAGAGUUCGCAGGAUAUGCUUGGAUAUAUUCUGCCAAACCAUUUUCCAAAUUGUAUCUGCCAGUUUACACCAGCACCAAUCAUACCUCCAAUCACUUAAUAUCUUUUUGAUUGUUGUUUUAAUUUAAAAAAAAAAAUUGUUAUUUUUAUCUUUCUGGUGAGAAUGCAACAGAAUCUGCUGGUUUUAAUUUUAACUUCUCUUAUUAGUACUAAUUUGUACAUAUGUUCAUAUAUUUAUUUGUCAUUUGUAUGUUUCAUUUUUGAAGUGCCGGUUUUAAUUUUAACUUCUCUUAUUAAUACUAAUUUGUACACAUAUUCAUAUAUGUGUCAUUUGUAUGUCUCAUUUUUGAAGUUCUUUUUGAAAUCUCUUGGCUAUUCUUUUAUUGUGUUGUGCUAUCUGGUUGUUCUUUAGAAAUAAAUAAUGCCUAAUAUAUUUUGCAUCACAAGCCCUUUACUAGAAAUGUGUGCUGCAAACAUCUUUUCCCAUUUCAUCUCCUACCUUUGUACCUUUGCACGCUAUUAAUAAUAUUAUUUGAUAAACAGAAAUUUGCAAUUCUAGUGAAAUUUUAUGUGGAUUCCUUGUACUUUUUCAUUACAGUUUGUAAUAGAUAGUUAUGGUAUUAACAUGAAUAGAAAUGUCUAGCAGAUUGGUUUAACACAGUACUGGGUGUGUUUGGAUGAGUGACUUACUGAAGAGGAAAGACCCAUCCUGGUUAUAGGUGCCCCAACCAAUAGGCUUGUAGCCUUGAAGGAAUAAAGAGGGAAGAAGAAGGAAGUCUUGAUUCUGUUUCUUCAGAGAAGCUCCAGUCUUCUCUAUUGCCUUUGGACAUCUGACUCCUGGUUUCUAGUGCUAACUCUUUAGACUUCCAAGCCAGACCCUUUGGCCUCAGGAUUACGGACUGGCAUGAGACUCUGCAGUGAGCCCCAGGCCUUUGACUUUGGACCGGGACCUCUGGCUUUCCAGGGUGCAGACAGCCUUUGUGUACUCUGUCAUACCUGACUCUUCAGGAAGACAUUGUAAGCCUACGUUGUAAAUCCUCUAUGUUUUGAGUUCAUACUUAAAAACUCAACUUAUAAGAAAACUUUUGUAAUACCAAAGUCAUUAAAUUUUUUUUCCUCAAAUUUACUUUUUUGCCUUUAAGUCUGUGGAUAUUUUGUACGGUAUAACAUAGGAACAAAAAUUGUAUUAUUAUUAUUACCAGUAUAAUCUGUGGUGCUGAAGAUUGAACCUAGUGUCUUUAUAUAGAGCUACAUCCACAGACUUUUUCUUAUUUUUCCUUUUGGCACGUGGUCUCACUAAAUCAGUGAGUUAUUCAGACUGGGCUCAAGGUUGUGAUCCUCCUGGCUGAGGUUCCCACAGUGCUCAGCUUAGUUUUUUUUUCUUCUCCUUAACAGUUGUCCAUUUGACCAAACAACAUUCAUUGAAAACUUGAGAGUAGUACAGAAUAAUAAAAAUUGCAUGUAUGCAUUGCCUACCAUAUCAGGAGAUAUAUGUACAUAUUCUUUUUUCAUUAUUUCAUAAAACGUUAGUACUUAUUUUGAAUUUAAUAUACUGCUUAAAAUUAAUGAUUGCUAAUCAAAAGAUCUUUCAGAUUUGGUAACAGAUAUUUAUCUAAGUUCUUGCCCUAUAGAUUUUGCCUUAGUUAUAAAGGUCACAUUUUGCUGAACAAAUAUUGUGUGAGAAGUAAAGUCAGGUAUGGUGUCACAUAAUCCCAGCUACUUUGAACGUUAAGAGGUUAAUGCAGGAGGAUAACAAGUGUGAGACCAGCUUGGGCAACUCAGUGAGAUAUUGUAUAUAAAAAAAAAAGGUCUGGGGAUGUAGUUCAGCACAAGGUCCUGGGUUCAGUCUCCAGUGCUAAAGAAAUAUAUAAGUAAAUAAGAGAUCUAAUAAAUGUUUAGAGGAAAUACCCUCAGUGGUAAUAUUAAUAUAAUUUUAAUUUUAAAAAUAAAGGUGUAACAGAGAACUAAAUCCUGUGACCUCUGAAAUAAGAUUGGCCUCAAUGAAAUUCUCAUAUGGAUUAAAUGCAAAUUUGUUGCAAAAUACAAGUCACUCCAGGCCAGGAAGCUUAAACCACCACAGGAUUCAAUGAUUUUGGAAAACAAAAGAUGAAGUGCUCAAAUGGGAAGGUGUCUUAGAGGAGAAUGCCACACUGACCAUUCCCACAUAUUCCAGAGGAUGAGUUGGCUUGGCUUAGUGUAUUCACCAUCAAGUUCUGAGGAAGGUGGAGGCAGAAGACACAGUCGCUGAUGAUUCAGUAUUUUUAAAGUUACAGGCAGCAUUAACUCUGAGGAUCUUGAGGUAUUUAUUUAUAACUGAAAUAGAGUAUAAUGUAAAAUAGAGCAUCAGAGAUAGUCACACUCCAUAGAGCCAAAUUUUGUUUAAAAUUUGUUUCCAGCUCUCGAGAGUAUAAAGAUGUGUACUGGGAUGUAAUAUAAAAUGUAUUUCUUACAUACAUUUAAUUCCAAAGUGCUUUUAAAGCCAGGUUACUUUUACUCAUAUUACCUAUGACAUAUCUUCUGCAAAUUGUGUCUUGUUGGUAAUUUACAUAUCAUACACACCUCCCUGCUAGGAGAAAAAGUACUGGACUUGAGCUUCAUAUCUUCUUGCAUUUAUGUGUGUUUCUUAUGUUCUCCUGUGUAUCCUAUACUGCAGUUCCCCACUGCUCCAUAGUGCCAGUCCUGGAAUAAAUAAACAUUGUUCAAAGAGAACAGGUGGGGUUGGAGUUUCCAUGAUGAAAGAUGACAAUGAGGUGAAUGGAUGAAAGGAAACUCAGGUUCCUGAGAGUUGAGUAGUAAACUAGGGCCAGUGCAGGUGUCUAGCCAGUGUGGUUGCCAUACUGUCAGUAGAGCUUUCUGUUGUCUCCAUUCCAG
ensembl:lncRNA